UGAUCUACUGCGCAUGUGUCGGAGCCUCGGCUGUCAGAGGACUCGCAUUCAGUCAGAGAGACAACAGCAGAGGAUAUAACUACGUGCUACUUUUUUGGCCGAGUGACCUUCAACAUUUUACUGUCAUUGUAGUGAAUUAUCCAGGUGAAGUGAAGGAUGAAUCGAGGCGUGAACGCGCAGCGGACAUUAUGGCGUGUGGCUCUGGUGAGCAAGUAGCAGAGAGAGGACUGUAGCCUGCUGCUGGACUGGGAGUCUGGGAGUCUGAUGCUGGACCGGGAGUCUGAUGCUGGACUGGGAGUCUGCUGCUGGACUGGGAGUCUGGGAGUCUGAUGCUGGACCGGGAGUCUGAUGCUGGACUGGGAGUCUGCUGCUGGACUGGGAGUCUGAUGCUGGACUGGGAGUCUGCUGCUGGACUGGGAGUCUGCUGCUGGACUGGGAGUCUGCUGCUGGACUGGGAGUCUGCUGCUGGACUGGGAGUCUGCUGCUGGACUGGGAGUCUGCUGCUGGACUGGGAGUCUGCUGCUGGACUGGGAGUCUGCUGCUGGACUGGGAGUCUGCUGCUGGACUGGGAGUCUGCUGCUGGACUGGGAGUCUGCUGCUGGACUGUUUUUUUAACGCCCAUCCCUGAUGCUGCUCUGGCUCGUGGGUCUACUGUCUGCUAGCAUAAGUCCGUCCAUCAGUGACAGGCUGAUUAACGGUAAACGAAACUAAGAGUACUGCUGCUGUCAGCUGGGUUAUGAGGUAAAUACAGGGUAAAAGGUGGGAGGGAUUAUUUUUCAUCCUUCAGCCUCUCUUCACUCGAAGCCCACAGCCUGGACCAUCACACAGCCUGGACCAUCACACAGAAACACUGAAGCUGAUCAGAGAGUGAAGCUGCAGCUCAGAGCUCCUCAACAUCCAGCUGUGGUACAGUCAGACUGUAGAUUGAUGUUGUUGUAGCUGUACUGACUGAACCUGAUGACUCUUCACCUGUGUCCUCUCACAGAGAGAAGAUGAUGCUGCUGCUCCUCAUCCUCACCUCCUCAGCAGCAGCAUUUGAAGUGAAGGUGACACAGAGCUCCUGUCAGGCAGAGGAGAACCACAACAUCACACUGGAGUGGACGUUCACCACAGACACCGAGACUAAGACUGAGGAGAUUUUUGUCUUCUGUUUUCAUUUAACCCAAAGAAAAGCCUCACUUCUGUAUCGGGCCCAUGACGGUGUUGAGAUCUCAGAGUCUGUGGAUGAAGGUUUUUCAGGAAGAGUCCAGAGUGACACAGACGCCCUCAGAGAAGGACGAAUCAGACUUCAUCUGUCCAGACUCAGGACUGAGGACUCUGGUCUGUAUGUGUGUGAAGUGACGAUAGCUUCAGUUACCCACUCGGCCCUCUGUAACCUGACAGUCUCUGCAGCUGCUGCUCAGACACACACUGACAGACCAGCUCUGAGUCCACCAGCAGACACAAGAGGAUGGACAGGACUCAUCAUUGGACUCAUCAUUGGACUGUCAGUAGUAGUUUCACUAUGUGUUGUUGUGUGUUGUUGUGUUUACAUUAGAAGACAAAAACAGGGGUCCAAUCUGUCAUUGGAGCAAGUACCCUAAAUCUAAAACUCUAGAAGACAGACAAGACUCUAUGAUGGACUCAAAUGUGCUGAACACAUGUGAAGUAUGUUAAAUCAUAGAGAGCUAGGGGAGUCAUAGGGGAGCUGCUACACACAGCAUGAUCAGUCUGAGCAGUAUCAAUAUAAAACACCAUCUGAUCAUGACCAGCUGAGGCUGAUCUGUUUCUGCUCAUUUCAGCAGUUGUUACUGAGGCAGCCAAUCAAAACGCACUUUACCAUCAUGCACAAGCACAUUGUCACUGUUUAGCAAGUAAUAUUGUACAUUUUGUUUAUUGAGAUAAUUAAGAUUCUUCUCAAGACAUUAAUUACCGGUAUCUUAAUUUAUAAAGAUUCUUAAUCUUUAAUCUUAAUUUUAUCUGUGUGAGCAGAAUUCACCUGCUGUGCAUUUUCUGUAUUGAGGAUUACAUAGUGUCAGAAUACUGUAAGCUCGGCCACAGGUUUACCAUGAAUUGAGUUCCUCCAAUAGAUGCCAAGUUUUUGGUCUCAUCGUUUAGGAGCUUCAUUACAAGAAACAAGUGAGCAUGUCUAUAUUCACCAUUUGAUUUACUUUGAACUUCGAUGCAUCUAAUUACAUCAGUAAUGGUGGACAUGUUAUCAUUUGUGUUAGUAUAGAGUGCCUUCUUGCAAAUGUUUGCUUCAUUUAUUCCGUUCAAUGCCAGUGCCUUCUUCAUCUUCCUUAAUAAUAAUAAUUGAAACCUUUAUUAGUCCCACAAUGGGGAAAUUGCUCAAGGCAGCCCAACCUUCCAGUUAUGGGACAACCCUGUACCCUAUACCACUGCGCCACUGCUGCCCGUGUGUUUGUUUCCAAUGCCAACAUUUCAUAGAGAUAUUUUAUGUAAUUGCUGCAGGUAAUGAAGCAGUUUUGUUAAAAUAGCCUAGGAGUCUAUGUUAGGUUAGGCCAUUGUAACCUCUGUAAGCUACAUGCCAAGUUUGUUAGUGUUUUCUUGUUUGCUGUUUGUCUUUACAGAACCACACAUCAAUUACAAGAGACGAACAGGCACAACUGUGUUUAAGCUGGAUCCAGCUUAACCCCAGUAUUGAUCACGGCGUUACAGCGGCUCGACGCACAUUAAACACACAGGAUGUAUUAUUGCAGACAGUCAUCCACACGUUCACAGAGUUAACUCACACAGACCAGAGGUCUGCUACAGUCAGCUACACUGAUCUUCUAUCUACUGUCAUGCUGUACGUCCUCUUCCCUGAGCAUUAUCAACUCGUUAGGCCAGGUAACCACGACUGUGCGCACAACUUGCAAUACAACUGCAUUGUCAACCUUUUGUGUGUGACGUGCUCUGCGUAGGAGGCCGUAUGAGGAGUUCUGCACACACACAUCUCGCGGAGUAUGGUACCUCCAUGCCAAAAAUAACUUUUUUGGAGUAUGUAACAAACUUUAUUCAUCAUUUUAUUUACUUUGCACUUUUUUUUAAUUUAUCAUGUUUAUAUUUGUAUAAGAAACAGAAUAAAGCCCAGCAGGUGAUGAAACA
rnacentral:lncRNA from 1 species